UUAGUAUUAACAACUUUGACCAGGAAAAACAAACCCUGCUUUUCCUUUACAGUCUCUCGUCAGGUCUUCGCCACAAAUCUCUGUCCAGAGGAUCGUGGCUGAGGCACCAUGGAAUGCUGCUGUUCUACUGGAGAUGCAAUUUCAUCCAAAAGAAAAAGGGAAAAGUAUCCAAAAGUCUUUCUAGUCUCCAGGCAUUUAGAAAAGCUUUAGAACAAGAUCUGCACUGGCACAAGAAUUUGAGUGGAAAUCACCCUGCCCAGCUGUGAGCCCCGGGGCGGGUGAGCCACACACUUGGAUCUCACUGCAGUUGUGGCCUCUGGGAAGAAGGCUUUGAAUGCAGAUUUUAAACAGGUACUCAACUCAUACUGAGCCACGGCUACUUUCAACUUAACAAUAUGUGAGAAACCCAUCUGAUCACUGCAGACCUGCUGAAAUCUGUUACAACUAAUCCUUCAAUCCUCACCAGAAUGCUGGCUGUCCUGCCUCUGCCGUCCCGAGAGAAGAUGAAAGCUACUGGGUGGCCACAGGGCAGUUAUGUCCCCUUCUCUAGGUUCUGUGAUUCUGGCAGUUAGAAUGGGUUUCCAGACUUUUACAAGCAGAAACCCUUAUACAUGUGAUUAUAUGCUGUCCGUCAACAUGUAAAACAGGCCAAGCGUGGUGGCUCACACCUGUAAUCUCAGCGUUUUGGGAGGCCAAGGUGGGAGGACCACUUGAGGCCAGGCGUUUGAGACCAGUCUGGGCAACAUAGCAAGACCCUAUCUCUUAAAAAAAAAAAAAGAAAAGAAAGAAAGAAAAGAAAAAGAAAAAGAAAAAGAAAAAAAAAAGUAGGCCAGGCACGGAUCACCUGAGGUCGGGAGUUUGAGACCAGCCUGACCAACAUGGAGAAACCCCAUCUCUACUAAAAAUACAAAAUUUGCCGGGCGUGGUGGCACAUGCCUGUAAUCUCACCUACUAGGGAGGCUGAGGCAGGAGAAUCGCUUGAACCCGGGAGGUGGAGGUUGCAGUGAGCCGAGAUCGCGCCAUUGCACUCCAGCCUGGGCAAUAAGAGUGAAACUCAGUCUCAAAAAAAAAAAAAAAAAAAGUGAAACACAGAAAUGUGGGACGUUGUUUUUGACACAGAGGUGGCCUCCAUUCCUAUUUUUCUUCAAGAGAACCAUGAAGCUCCUUUGCAAAAUAGGUGAGUUCUUUUCUUUGAGACAGAGUCUCCUUCCAUCACACAGGCUGGAGUGCAGUGGUGCGAUCUUGGCUUACUGCAACCUCUGCCUCCCAGGCUCAAGUGAUUCUCAUGCCUCAGCCUCCUGAGUAGCUGGAACUACAGGUGUGCACCACACCACACCUGGCUAAUUUUUGUAUUUUUAGUAGAAACGGGGUUUCGCUAUGUUGGCCAGGGCUGGUCUCAAACUCCUGGCCUCAAGUGAUCUGCCCAUCUCGGUCUCCUCAAGUGCUAGGAUUACAGAUGUGAGCCACUGCACCUGACUGCAAAAUGGGAGAGUUCUGAGAAGUGUGGACUGGAAACCAGUGAGAGGAGGUAACUUCUAGAACCUCUUCCCAGCUCUGAUUCCACUAACAUGGUCUAAACUUUCCAAACUCAACCCACACCACCGUUAAAGUCCUUAUUUUCUAAGCCGUUUCUCUUUCGGGCACUUUCCAGGAGGCCUGGGCCUGAAACUCCACACCCCACCAGCUGACACACUGUGCGUGACCUGGAACUAGAAAUGACCUUCUCACAGGGCAGAUGGCCACCCACGGGGGAUGUCUUGUUAGAAAGCCUCUCCAAAGACCUGGGAGAGUCAAAUCCUGACACAAACAUAUCAAAGAAAUGUUCUACUUUACUAGAAAUUUUGUUUAAAACAUACAAGUUAAAAUCAGCGGCUGAGCAUGGUGGCUCACACCUAUAAUCUUAGCUACUCGGGAGGUGGAGGGAAGAGGAUUGCUUGAGGCCAGGAGGUCAAGACCAGCCUGGGCAACACAGAGAGACCCCCAUCUCUAUUUAUUAAAAAAAACGGAAAAGAAAACAAUUUGGUAAUAUAUGUAUCAAGAGGUUUAAAAAUGUUCACUUCCUUUGAUCCAAUAAUUAAGACUCUAACUUCAGAAAAUUAUAGAAAAAUUUUGACGUGAAGCUAUUCACUACAGCACUGUCUCUAUUACAUAAAACAGAAGCAUAGGGCAAACUCCAUAGAAGUCAAUAAAAUGUUAACAGCUGUCUUUGAGUGGAGAAACGAUAGAAGACCUUUUUUUUUCUUUUUUUUUAAACUUGCUUCUUUUCUUCUUCAUAUAUAGGAGACGUUUUGUUUGACUUCCUUAUAUAUCUGAACUUUUCACAUUUUCUAAAGUGAGAAAGUAUUACUUCUAUUAUCAGAAAAAAACUCUCCUGGCCAGGUGCAGUGGCUCAUGCCUGUAAUCCCCAGCACUUUGGAAGGCUGAGGGGGGCGGAUCAUCUGAGGUCAGGAGUAUGAGACCAGCCUGGCCAACAUGGUGAAAUCCCGUCUCUACUAAAAAUACAAAAAUUAGCUGGGCAUGGUGGCAUGCACCUGUAAUCCCAGCUACCUGGGAAGCUGAGGCAGGAGAAUCCCCUGAACCCAGGAGGCGGAGGUUGCAGUGAGCCGAGAACUGCACCACUGCACUCCAGCCUGGGCAACAUGAGCCUCAAAAAACAAAACAAAAAACAAACCUCCCUUAAAAUGCCAAACACUUUUAAAAGGUCAUAAAUAUAAACCAAACCACCACCACCGCUGUGUCUUACCAUUAUUACUUUAAAUGGCUGCUGCUAUCCCAGUGUAGUUUCACUAAUAUCAGGCCCUGUCAACUUACCAUGGCACCUCCCUGACAGCAGACACAUCCCCCCAUCCCCGAGCUCCACAAAAAUGGAAGAACAAACCAUCCAUGUUCCUAUGACAGUAGUCCUGUGAGCACGGCGAGAUGGGGCUUUGCUUGAAAAGGGAUCACUCAGGCCAGUGCCUCCCACGUCUUACUGGAAGAUGGCACGAAACUAGCAUGUGAUUUGUCUCUUGCACAGUGGGUGGCCGGAAGGGAAGUGACAACUCUUCUGGCUGGGGCCUCCAGGGAUAGGUCAGAGCAGAACCUUCCAAAGGGCACCCAUGGUGCCGGCCCCAGUAACCUACAAUUCCCUUGUGGUCAACCAGCUUCUCCAGAACCAAGAACCCACUGGCUCCUGGGUGGCCAAGAGCAAUCUGACCACCUGCAGCCAGUCAGAAGGUGGAGCCCUGGUUUACGGGCCUACCCAGAGGGCAAAGUAGGGGAGUAAUAGGGGCAGCAGUGGAUGUGUAAUGGUAACAGUAAUAGCAGGCCUGGUGCAGUGGCUCACACCUUGUGAUCCCAGCACUUUGACUGGCUGAGGCAGAAGGACUGCUUUGAGCCCAGGGGUUCAAAGUUGCAGUGAGCUAUGAUCGUGCCACUACACUCCAACCUGGGCAACAGAGCGAGACCCUGUCUCUUUAAAAAAAAAUAAAUAACAGCCAAGCAGGAACCCGCAUCCAGGAACACAGCCCUUUGCUCCUCCCUCAGAAUGAAUGGAAACCAGGCUGGGCGCGGUGGCUCACACCUGUAAUCCCAGCACUUUGGGAGGCCAAGGCGGGCGGAUCACGAGGUCAGGAGAUCGAGACCAUCGUGGCUAACAUGGUGAAACCCUGUCUCUACUAAAAAUACAAAAAAUUAGCCGGGCGCGGUGGCGGGUGCCUGUAGUCCCGGCUACUAGGGAGGCUGAGGCAGGAGAAUGGCGUGAACCCAGGAAGUGGAGUUUGCAGUGAGCCAAGAUCGCGCCACUGCACUCCAGCCUGGGCGACAGAGCAAGACUCCGUCUCAAAAAAAAAAAAAAAAAAAAAAAGAACGAAUGGAAACCAGAAAUCAGAUAUUUAUGCCCAAGCAAAGCAGGAUUUCGUUCAGCACUACUCCCAGAUCGUUAGGGUGCUGACUGAGGAUGAGAUGGGGCACCCAGAGACAGGAGAUGCUACUGCCCGGCUCAAGGAGGUCCUGGAGUACAAUGCCAUUGGAGGCAAGUAUCACCGAGGUUUGAUGGUGCUAGUAGCGUUCCGGGAGCUGGUGGAGCCGAGGAAACUGGAUGCUGAUAGUCUCCAGUGGGCACCGACUGUGGGCUGGUAUGCGCAACUGCUGCAAGCUUUCUUCCUGGUGGCAGAUGACAUUAUGGAUUCAUCCCUUACCUGCCAGGGACAGAUCUCCUGGUAUCAGAAGCUGGGCAUGGGUUUGGAUGCCAUCAAUGAUGCUAUCCUUCUGGAAGCAUGUAUCUACUGCCUGCUGAAGCUGUAUUGCCGGGAGCAGCCCUAUUACCUGAACCUGAUGGAGCUCUUCCAGCAGAAUUCUUAUCAGACUGAGAUUGGGCAGACCCUCGACCUCAUCACAACCCCCCAGGGCAAUGUGGAUCUUCGCAGAUGCACCGAAAAAAGGCACAAAUCUGUUGUCAAGUACAAGACAGCUUUCUACUCCUUCUACCUUCCUGUAGCUGCAGCCAUGUACAUGUCAAGAAUGGAUGACAAGAAGGAGCACACCAGUGCCAAGAAGAUCCUGCUGGAGAUUCAAGAGUUCUUUCAGAUUCAGGAUGAUUACCUUGACUUCUCUGGGGACCCCAGUGUGACUGGCAGAGUUGGCAAUGACUUCCAGGACAACAAAUGCAGCUGGCUGGUGGUUCAGUGUCUGCUACAGGCCACUCCAGAACAGUACCAGAUCCUGAAGGAAAAUUACAGGCAGAAGGAGGCCGAGAAGGUGGCCCGGGUGAAGGCACUAUACGAGGAGCUGGAUCUGCCAGCCGUGUUCUUGCAGUAUGAGAAAGACAGUUACAGCCACGUUAUGGGUCUCAUCGAAUAGUACGCAGAGCCCCUGCCCCCAGCCAUCUUUCUGGGGCUUGUGCACAAAAUCUACAAGUGGAAAAAGUGACCUAGAGACUGCAAGGGCGGGGAGAGAAGGCUCUCAAUAAGUAAAUUAUUGUGUAAAAUAAAUAAAUAAAUGA